GUCACUUUGGCGGAGUGGUUAACGCGCUGCCCUGCUAAUUUCCCUCUCGAGGGAGUUAGCAUGUUAGGCAGUUCCUUCGGGAGCGUAGGUUCGAAUCCUGCAGGUGACG